GGUCUGUUUCACAAAGUCUGAGUAAAGUAUUGGAUAGCUAAUUAACAAAUAAAUUAACUGCCAGAUAAAACUUCCUGAUAAAAUAAACUUUAUUUACCAGUUAAGCUUAUUUGAAGAUUGUGAAACCUCAACGAUGACUUUAUUCGCCAGAUAAGUGGCAAGUAGCUUAUUCAGAACUUUACUUGGACAUUGUGAAACAGGCCCUUAACAU